rnacentral:tRNA from 1 species
GGAGUGUUAAGUUAUGUAGACUAUAGUAUUUCAAGUACUGAAGAGGAAAGGGUUUUCACACUUUA